UACGUAGGGUGCAAGCGUUGUCCGGAAUUAUUGGGCGUAAAGAGCUCGUAGGCGGUUUGUCGCGUCUGCUGUGAAAACGCGAGGCUCAACCUCGCGCCUGCAGUGGGUACGGGCAGACUAGAGUGCGGUAGGGGAGAUUGGAAUUCCUGGUGUAGCGGUGGAAUGCGCAGAUAUCAGGAGGAACACCGGUGGCGAAGGCGGGUCUCUGGGCAGUAACUGACGCUGAGGAGCGAAAGCGUGGGGGAGCGAACAGG
rnacentral:rRNA from 1 species